rnacentral:rRNA from 1 species
UUAAUAACCUUGGCGAUUGACGUUACCCGCAGAAGAAGCACCGGCUAACUCCGUGCCAGCAGCCGCGGUAAUACGGAGGGUGCAAGCGUUAAUCGGAAUUACUGGGCGUAAAGCGCACGCAGGCGGUCUGUCAAGUCGGAUGUGAAAUCCCCGGGCUCAACCUGGGAACUGCAUUCGAAACUGGCAGGCUAGAGUCUUGUAGAGGGGGGUAGAAUUCCAGGUGUAGCGGUGAAAUGCG